rnacentral:rRNA from 1 species
GUUUGAUCCUGGCUCAGGAUGAACGCUGGCGGCGUGCUUAACACAUGCAAGUCGAACGAGCCUUCGGGCUAGUGGCGGACGGGUGAGUAACGCGUGAGAAUCUGCCCUCAGGAGGGGGAUAACGGCUGGAAACGGCCGCUAAUACCCCAUAUGCCGCGAGGUGAAACGAGUUUUCGCCUGAGGAUGAGCUCGCGUCUGAUUAGCUAGUUGGUGGGGUAAGAGCCUACCAAGGCAUCGAUCAGUAGCUGGUCUGAGAGGAUGAUCAGCCACACUGGGACUGAGACACGGCCCAGACUCCUACGGGAGGCAGCAGUGGGGAAUUUUCCGCAAUGGGCGCAAGCCUGACGGAGCAACGCCGCGUGAGGGAUGAAGGCCUCUGGGCUGUAAACCUCUUUUCUCAAGGAAGAAGAACUGACGGUACUUGAGGAAUAAGCCACGGCUAAUUCCGUGCCAGCAGCCGCGGUAAUACGGGAGUGGCAAGCGUUAUCCGGAAUUAUUGGGCGUAAAGCGUCCGCAGGCGGUCUUGAAAGUCUGUUGUUAAAGCGUGGAGCUCAACUCCAUUUCAGCAAUGGAAACUAGAAGACUAGAGUGUGGUAGGGGCAGAGGGAAUUCCCGGUGUAGCGGUGAAAUGCGUAGAUAUCGGGAAGAACACCAGUGGCGAAGGCGCUCUGCUGGGCCAUAACUGACGCUCAUGGACGAAAGCCAGGGGAGCGAAAGGGAUUAGAUACCCCUGUAGUCCUGGCCGUAAACAUGAACACUAGGUGUCGGGGGAAUCGACCCCCUCGGUGUCGUAGCUAACGCGUUAAGUGUUCCGCCUGGGGAGUACGCACGCAAGUGUGAAACUCAAAGGAAUUGACGGGGGCCCGCACAAGCGGUGGAGUAUGUGGUUUAAUUCGAUGCAACGCGAAGAACCUUACCAGGGUUUGACAUCCUGCGAAUCUUUUGGAAACAGAAGAGUGCCUUCGGGAGCGCAGAGACAGGUGGUGCAUGGCUGUCGUCAGCUCGUGUCGUGAGAUGUUGGGUUAAGUCCCGCAACGAGCGCAACCCACGUCUUUAGUUGCCAGCAUUAAGUUGGGCACUCUAGAGAGACCGCCGGUGAUAAACCGGAGGAAGGUGUGGAUGACGUCAAGUCAUCAUGCCCCUUACAUCCUGGGCUACACACGUACUACAAUGCUACGGACAAAGGGCAGCAAACUCGCGAGAGCUAGCAAAUCCCAUAAACCGUGGCUCAGUUCAGAUCGUAGGCUGCAACUCGCCUACGUGAAGGAGGAAUCGCUAGUAAUCGCAGGUCAGCAUACUGCGGUGAAUACGUUCCCGGGCCUUGUACACACCGCCCGUCACACCAUGGAAGUUGGCCAUGCCCGAAGUCGUUACUCCAACCCUUGUGGAGGAGGACGCCGAAGGUGGGGCUGAUGACUGGGGUGAAGUCGAAACAAGGUA